rnacentral:tRNA from 1 species
GCCUGGGUGGCUCAGUCGGUUGAGCGUCUGACUUGGGCUCAGGUCAUGAUCUCGUGGUUCGUGAGUUCGAGCCCCGCGUCGGGCU